GACGAACGCUGGCGGCGUGCUUAACACAUGCAAGUCGAGCGGAAAGGCCACUUCGGUGGUACUCGAGCGGCGAACGGGUGAGUAACACGUGAGUAAUCUGCCCCUCACUUUGGGAUAGCCACCGGAAACGGUGAUUAAUACCGGAUAUGACCAUAUGUCGCAUGGCGUGUGGUGGAAAGUUUUUCGGUGAGGGAUGUGCUCGCGGCCUAUCAGCUUGAUGGUGAGGUAAUGGCUCACCAUGGCUUCGACGGGUAGCCGGCCUGAGAGGGUGACCGGUCACACUGGGACUGAGACACGGCCCAGACUCCUACGGGAGGCAGCAGUGGGGAAUAUUGGACAGUGGGCGGAAGCCUGAUCCAGCAACGCCGCGUGAGGGAUGACGGCCUUCGGGUUGUAAACCUCUUUCAGUACCGACGAAGCGCAAGUGACGGUAGGUACAGAAGAAGCACCGGCCAACUACGUG
rnacentral:rRNA from 1 species